UUCAAUGGAUGAGUAGAGUGCUGUUGAUAGUAUUCAUCAAGUUGGAAUUUGCUGUCUUGCUCUAGUUUUGCCCAAUUGUUGCCAAAAGUGGUAUUCAUUUAUCUGAAUCAAAAAGACGAUUUUAAGAGGGAAGUUUACACCCAGCCAAUGUAUUGAUGUGCCCUCACACCUUUGUUACCAAUCUUCCUAAACCUAGAGAAGCUUAUUCUGGAAGCUGGCAAUGUUGUUGAUAUAAAGUCAUGGCCUCUCCUCUUAGAUACUGAUGAAAUUCCAGAAGAGAAAUUAACUAGCAUGUAUAGUACCCCAACUACUGAAAUGAUAACUUAUUUGGAUUUAAAUGUUAGCCCAACUGGAAUGCUAGCUGGUAUUAAGAUGUCCCAUGCAGUAUCAACCUUUUUCUGUACAAGUAUGAAACUUGCCUGUGAAUUAUAUCCAUCAAGACACAUAACUUUUGGCCUUGAUCCUUACUGUUGUUUAGGUUUUGCC